rnacentral:rRNA from 1 species
UACGGGGGGAGCAAGCGUUGUUCGGAUUUACUGGGCGUAAAGGUCUCGUAGGCGGCGCAACAAGUCACUUGUGAAAUCUCCGGGCUUAACCCGGAGCGGCCAAGUGAUACUGUCGUGCUAGAGUGCGGAAGGGGCUACUGGAAUUCUCGGUGUAGCGGUGAAAUGCGUAGAUAUCGAGAGGAACACCUGCGGCGAAGGCGGGUAGCUGGGCCGACACUGACGCUGAGGCGCGAAAGCCAGGGGAGCGAACGGG